AGCGCAUACGGUGGAUGCCUUGGCAGUCAGAGGCGAUGAAAGACGUGGUAGCCUGCGAAAAGCUUCGGGGAGUCGGCAAACAGACUUUGAUCCGGAGAUGUCUGAAUGGGGGAACCCAGCCAUCAUAAGAUGGUUAUCUUACGCUGAAUACAUAGGCGUAAGAGGCGAACCAGGGGAACUGAAACAUCUAAGUACCCUGAGGAAAAGAAAUCAACCGAGAUUCCCUUAGUAGUGGCGAGCGAACGGGGAUUAGCCCUUAAGUGGCUUUGAGAUUAGCGGAACGCUCUGGAAAGUGCGGCCAUAGUGGGUGAUAGCCCUGUACGCGAAAAUCUCUUAGUCAUGAAAUCGAGUAGGACGGAGCACGAGAAACUUUGUCUGAAUAUGGGGGGACCAUCCUCCAAGGCUAAAUACUACUGACUGACCGAUAGUGAACUAGUACCGUGAGGGAAAGGCGAAAAGAACCCCGGAGAGGGGAGUGAAAUAGAUCCUGAAACCGUAUGCGUACAAGCAGUGGGAGCAGACUUUGUUCUGUGACUGCGUACCUUUUGUAUAAUGGGUCAGCGACUUAUUUUCAGUGGCGAGCUUAACCGAAUAGGGGAGGCGUAGCGAAAGCGAGUCUUAAUAGGGCGUCUAGUCGCUGGGAAUAGACCCGAAACCGGGCGAUCUAUCCAUGGGCAGGUUGAAGGUUGGGUAACACUAACUGGAGGACCGAACCGACUACCGUUGAAAAGUUAGCGGAUGACCUGUGGAUCGGAGUGAAAGGCUAAUCAAGCUCGGAGAUAGCUGGUUCUCCUCGAAAGCUAUUUAGGUAGCGCCUCAUGUAUCACUGUAGGGGGUAGAGCACUGUUUCGGCUAGGGGGUCAUCCCGACUUACCAAACCGAUGCAAACUCCGAAUACCUACAAGUGCCGAGCAUGGGAGACACACGGCGGGUGCUAACGUCCGUCGUGAAAAGGGAAACAACCCAGACCGUCAGCUAAGGUCCCAAAGUUAUGGUUAAGUGGGAAACGAUGUGGGAAGGCUUAGACAGCUAGGAGGUUGGCUUAGAAGCAGCCACCCUUUAAAGAAAGCGUAAUAGCUCACUAGUCGAGUCGGCCUGCGCGGAAGAUGUAACGGGGCUCAAACCAUACACCGAAGCUACGGGUAUCACGUAAGUGAUGCGGUAGAGGAGCGUUCUGUAAGCCUGUGAAGGUGAGUUGAGAAGCUUGCUGGAGGUAUCAGAAGUGCGAAUGCUGACAUGAGUAACGACAAUGGGUGUGAAAAACACCCACGCCGAAAGACCAAGGUUUCCUGCGCAACGUUAAUCGACGCAGGGUUAGUCGGUCCCUAAGGCGAGGCUGAAAAGCGUAGUCGAUGGAAAACAGGUUAAUAUUCCUGUACUUCUGGUUAUUGCGAUGGAGGGACGGAGAAGGCUAGGCCAGCUUGGCGUUGGUUGUCCAAGUUUAAGGUGGUAGGCUGAGAUCUUAGGUAAAUCCGGGAUCUUAAGGCCGAGAGCUGAUGACGAGCUAACUUUUAGUUAGCGAAGUGGUUGAUGCCAUGCUUCCAAGAAAAGCUUCUAAGCUUCAGGUAACCAGGAACCGUACCCCAAACCGACACAGGUGGUUGGGUAGAGAAUACCAAGGCGCUUGAGAGAACUCGGGUGAAGGAACUAGGCAAAAUGGCACCGUAACUUCGGGAGAAGGUGCGCCGGUGAGGGUGAAGGACUUGCUCCGUAAGCUCAUGCCGGUCGAAGAUACCAGGCCGCUGCGACUGUUUAUUAAAAACACAGCACUCUGCAAACACGAAAGUGGACGUAUAGGGUGUGACGCCUGCCCGGUGCCGGAAGGUUAAUUGAUGGGGUUAGCUAACGCGAAGCUCUUGAUCGAAGCCCCGGUAAACGGCGGCCGUAACUAUAACGGUCCUAAGGUAGCGAAAUUCCUUGUCGGGUAAGUUCCGACCUGCACGAAUGGCGUAACGAUGGCGGCGCUGUCUCCACCCGAGACUCAGUGAAAUUGAAAUCGCUGUGAAGAUGCAGUGUAUCCGCGGCUAGACGGAAAGACCCCGUGAACCUUUACUAUAGCUUUGCACUGGACUUUGAAUUUGCUUGUGUAGGAUAGGUGGGAGGCUUUGAAGCGUGGACGCCAGUUCGCGUGGAGCCAACCUUGAAAUACCACCCUGGCAACUUUGAGGUUCUAACUCAGGUCCGUUAUCCGGAUCGAGGACAGUGUAUGGUGGGUAGUUUGACUGGGGCGGUCUCCUCCUAAAGAGUAACGGAGGAGUACGAAGGUGCGCUCAGACCGGUCGGAAAUCGGUCGUAGAGUAUAAAGGCAAAAGCGCGCUUGACUGCGAGACAGACACGUCGAGCAGGUACGAAAGUAGGUCUUAGUGAUCCGGUGGUUCUGUAUGGAAGGGCCAUCGCUCAACGGAUAAAAGGUACUCCGGGGAUAACAGGCUGAUACCGCCCAAGAGUUCAUAUCGACGGCGGUGUUUGGCACCUCGAUGUCGGCUCAUCACAUCCUGGGGCUGAAGCCGGUCCCAAGGGUAUGGCUGUUCGCCAUUUAAAGUGGUACGCGAGCUGGGUUUAGAACGUCGUGAGACAGUUCGGUCCCUAUCUGCCGUGGACGUUUGAGAUUUGAGAGGGGCUGCUCCUAGUACGAGAGGACCGGAGUGGACGAACCUCUGGUGUUCCGGUUGUCACGCCAGUGGCAUUGCCGGGUAGCUAUGUUCGGAAUAGAUAACCGCUGAAAGCAUCUAAGCGGGAAACUAGCCUCAAGAUGAGAUCUCACUGGAACCUUGAGUUCCCUGAAGGGCCGUCGAAGACUACGACGUUGAUAGGUUGGGUGUGUAAGCGCUGUGAGGCGUUGAGCUAACCAAUACUAAUUGCCCGUGAGGCUUGACC
rnacentral:rRNA from 1 species